UGUCAUGAAUAUUUUCUGGAGAAUAGAAGUGGUACUUAUAUAAUGGUAGUGCCCAUUGCCUGAGAUCCCAUGAUUGUAAGGUGACUGAGAAAUAUUUUUAAUUACACGGUUGUUGAUGUGAUUCAGUCUUCAGCACUACGGUCACCCCGGUGUGUCGGCCACAACACCAAUUAAAGCCAAACUGUCUCAGAGUGUAGAAGAAGAAGCUUGAGGUUUGUUCUGAAACUUAUAAACACCUGUAUAAGAACAGAAUAGACUUGUCCUAUAAACUUUGGGGCCUUUCUACACUACUCUGCGAUGGCUCUUGAUAAAACUUAAAUAUGUGGGAUGAUCUUGGACAGUUUAAAGUGGGCCUCUGUUCCUGUAAAGUAGAUUGUGGUAAGGACCCGACACGCACACUGGAUUUCAUUCACUAUAGGUUAGUUUUAUUUUCGUUCUGAUGUUCCAGCAUCAGUCACACAGGAACAGCUGCUUCUUCCUCCCAGUCUCCGUCCCCGUCAUCACUAUUUAAAAAUAGAGAGAAGAAGAUGAUCACCUUGAGCAGUCACACCCGCCCUCUCAGCCACACCUCGGCACCGCCCUGAGAGCUCACUGUAACACCCCUCUGCUGCAGCAGGCCGGAGACCACACCCCCGCCACAUAGAUCAUAUCACUACUGUGAGAUAAAAGUGAAAGAGCAGCUCACAGAUCAGUGGGAAGUCACAUCAGGAGAACAUUAAGUAUUUGUAGCGUGUGAUUCCCUUGUGUUUUCAGUCUGUGAAACAGCUGUUUGUCCCUUCACCAGGCAGUGAUGGCAGCAGCAGCGUUCAGGAGCAGAGGACUGGCUGGUGUCAGAAACACCAACGUUUUAAUCCUCAUCUUUCUGCUGUCCCUGGUUUAUGUCACAAAUUCACUGAUGAAAAUUCAUUGAGAGUAACAAACUAGAGACUACAUCCAAAUAUGCCUUCAGAGGACUCAGGGACCUGACUCACUUGUCUUUGGCAAACAAUAACAUUAAAGCCUUGCCAGG